UUGUAUAAGACAUAUGUAAGAAUCAGAACAUGUAUUGUUAAGAACUGUCAACAUCCAGACUACAGAUUCUGUGUUUUGGCUGCAGGUUUGACAUUUUUCUGCAGUUUGUUUCUUCAAAGUAGGUUUCAUCCCUGCAGUCCGUACAUAGAGUUUCAACUAAAUCAUCAGAAAAAUGGACUCAACAAGCAAGUUUAGUAUGUCGUCUGAAAUGUCACCAAAACGUCACAGGUUAGUAUGUCGUCCAAAAUCCUGCAAAAAUGUCAUAGUUCAGUAUGUCGUCUAAAAUGUCACCAAAACAUCAUAGUUUAGUAUGUCGUCCAAAAUGUCAUUGUUUAAUAUGUCAUCCAAAAUGUUACAAAAAUGUCAUAGUUUAGUACAGGGGCGAUUCUAGGAUCAGAGGUUUAGGGGUGCUGAGCAGUGUUGCCAACUUGGCGACUUUCUCACUAAAUCUGGCGACUUUUUUUGUCAAGAGACUAGAGACAAAUCUUUCUGGCGUUUUGGAGACUCUGACAUCAGUGGCGGAUCUUCCGUGGGGGCACGUGGGGGCAGUGCCCCCGCCCCCUGUGAUUUGAUUGGCCACCCCGUGUGCCCCCCCCAAAAUUUUCGUCGGAAAUUUACAUUACUGAAACUCCGAUUUCCGACGCUCCUGAACGCAACUUCGUUGUCCGACUGCAACUGAAUGCACCAAUGACGUUAGUUUGAUCUUUUGAUUGUAUUUCGUUUGGAUUUGAAGAAGCUUUGAAGACGUUUCCUGAUGCUAGAGGAGAAGACAAGCAGCUUUGUACCUUUGCGGUAAGAAGACUAUGGCCGUUUCUCAGCACGUAACUGUCCGUACUUGCGUUCUCACGUACAUCAUCAUCGAGACUGCAGACAAGUGUGCAUAGAUAUGAAUGAGUAGAUAGGACACGCCCCCUUUGAGCUGUGUGCUACAGCGAGGCUAAGCUAGUGGGGGCAAAGUUUCAGUGCAUUCCGUUGAUGUAGACGGCGUGAAAACGGAAACAAGAAGUAUGCCGGCUCACUGUGCUGCAUACAGUUACACACUGUGUCGUACGAUUGAGACAAGGAAACUUGGAAUGACUUUUCAUAGGUGAGAAUAGUUUUUCGCUCUUUUUUCAUGAGUAAAUCUUGAGAGCUUCCAGUCUAUGAGAGCUAACUAGUUAGCCACUAGCAAAACACUAAGGCGAGCUAGCAGCUUGACAACCAAAUACCAGACGAUUAAUAGUAGCUGUAGUAUAGUUGUACAAGCAGUAGUAGUAAUACUAAAAGUACAAGCAGCAGUAGUAGUAUAAACAGCUGUUAGAGUCGUAGAAGUAGUAUCAGCAUUUGUAAUAGUAUUACAAGUUGUAGUAGCAGUGCCAGUAUCAGCAGCAGUAGUUAGUGUACUAUCACUACUACUAGUAGUAGUCACAUUGCUAUUACUACCACCAAUACUACCAAUAGUAGUUAUAAAGCCUAACUCAUGUAUAUCCAGAUUACCAUCUAUGUUCUUCCUCCAAACCCAUUUUAUGAUUGGGAUUACAGGCAGUUCUUUAGGACUGCUCUCAAAUAAUUGAAAUGUUACUAAACAAGGUUAUACUUAUCAAAUUAAAUAACUCUGGUCUCCAGUAUAUUAGCUACUUCGGUUGUUUGGACUUAAUUUAUUAGCAUGAUUUCUUUUUAAAUAUGUUGUGUACAGACUUAUUUAUUUGUCUGUCUACUUUUCUUACUCCAUGUAGGUUUCCACUUUUCAUAAAAGUUCAGCAGACAGGUGCUCUGCUUUGGAGUGUGACGAUGUCGUCGGUGAUGUGGAGAGUGAAGUUUCUGUUUCACCCACAGCGUGCUUUAGGGCAACCGGGUCAGAUUUGAUGUUUGAAGUACUGACUGACAACUCAGAUUUAACUGUCUGUAAUUCCGUUUUGAUGGGUGUUAAAUUUUCACUCAAAGCCGCCAGGAGCUGGGUCUUUAAAAUAACCGCCAUCUCGUUACAGAGUGAAAGCAGCAGUUCCUCCUGAAGGUCAGAGAUUGCAGCAUCUGAGGGCCUCUUCAAAAGAAGACAUCAUUGAUGAAGGUGUUCUGGAGCAGGACCAGAAAGACCACGACCAAGCAGCCUUCAGAUCUUAGACAGCGUCUCCCUCAGGUCCCUCUCUAUCUCCCCACACAUCCACCAACCACUGGAACACAUCUCCAAAGUUCUGCCGGGCCAGCUCAGCUUCCCCUCAGAAGAAGUGCUGCCACCUGCCAGAUGAAGGAGCCUUUUGAGAGGCAGCUGGCAUCGUGAUUGGACUGUACUUUGGUCUGUUCCAAUCCAGCUUCAGCUCCAGAGACGGCAGGCGGGACGAGUCAACGGAGGCCUGGUGGACGAAGGCAUGCAGCUGAGUACAAUCCAGAAAACAACAGAGGAGGAGUGCAGGGCCAGAACAAACAGAGUAGCAUCGUAUGUCUCUUAGAAAACAUCAUAGUAGAACCUUUGGUAUGAAAAAAACGGCAUCAUAUACAUCGUAGAUUGUACAAAUAAUAAGUCAAAGGAAAGAGACAUACAUUGUAGAAUUGUAGUAAUUGUGGGCUGACUGAUUUACUGAUUAUCAGUAUUUUAUUUUUUACUGAUUUACAGUAAUAAAUACAUUUUAAAAUGGCGCUACUUUGGCUCUGAACCUUUAUCUACCUGUGGUCACUCUGUCUUCUGGAAUGAUUUGAUUGGUUAUACAUCACGAAUAAAACUCCUUUAACUUAACAUCUGUAAACAAAACAAAAACGUAUCAGCAAAAUUUUCUGUUAGAGUUUGUGUUCAUGUAAGUUUAACUCCAAGAUUUUAAAUACUUUCAUUCGCUGCAAAUGAAUAUCUACUCCAAAUGUCUCAGUAAUAAUCAUUAUCAGCCUUAAAAACCCACAAAACACCCCUCUAUACUCGACCACACUUAGUACAGUCCGGUUCCCCCUUCUAUAAAUCUGAUUGGAAUCAUCCACUUCCUGUUUGUCAAAGUGGCCUUCUACCUGGACAGGUUUUGUUGGAGCUCAUGCAACAAACAUUUUGGGUAAGUGCACUUUAACAUGGAUGGAUGACACUGAAUUAGAGUCUGUGUUAAUGAGACUGAGUUAAGAUGUGUAGCUCUGUCAUUAAAUAGUAAAUUAUUUCUCAGAAUUCACAGAGAAAAGUCUGAAAUGUUUGCUACGUUAGCAUCCCACUUGUUCUUUGGCUCAGCUAAAGCUAACUCUCUCCAACUUCUGGAUCUCUUGAGUUGCUUGUUGUUAAAAUAUCUUGCUAGAGGUGCUGAAGCUCAGAAAGUCUGAGAUGUUUGUUCAGAAUAAGCUCAUUCUCAAGUCUUAUCUGAACUGUCCUCUUUUGUUUGAACUUUCCCUAAACUUAGGAGUUAAUGACAGAGCAGCACAUCCAGACUCAGUCUCAUUUAUGUAGAGAUUAAACUUCAGUGUCAUUCAUUGAUGUUAAAGUGCACUUUUUCAAAUGUUUGUUGCACGUGCUCCCGACCAAACCAGUCCAGGUGGAAGACGAUGUGAAGAGAAAGCUCCAGAGGAUGAAUAUCACACAUUUACGUUGGAAAUAAAUGUCCUUUAAUUAGA